rnacentral:lncRNA from 1 species
AUGGGCCAGAUCAGAUACCAGAGGCUUUGCAACCAACUUGCAGGACCGUCUGGGUUAAGCAUUGAGACUCUGAUGACUUCACCAGCUUCACUCUGUGUAGAAGAAAUUAAAAUGGUCUUGCUCAAGCUUUCCAGUGGGCUUGGAUGCAGCAACGGAGGAGAUUGUCAGCUCCGCGACAGGGCGCCUCCUGCACCUCAUUGCUCCACCUGAAGAUUUUUGGAGUUACUUUAUUGAGGCCUCAUUGAUGUCCUGGUGGUUGGUCAUACUUUCGGUAAAUACUGCAUGCGUGCCUGGAAGUGAUGCAUGUUCUUUAACUGCUGGGUGCAGUGUUCUCACCGUGUCCGUUAGAUCAAACUUGUUAGUGUUGUCCAAAUCUUCUACAGCUCUCUAGCUUUUUUCAUUUGUAUGCUUGCUUGAUUUGUAAAAUACAAAAGCAGCUCUGUUAAAUCCUCCCUUUAUGGUAAUUUGUCCAUUUCUCCUUGUAGUUCUGUGAUUUUUUGUUGGAUAUUUUGAUGAUAUAUUACUCCAUGCGUACAGGUUUACAAUGGUUUAUCUAACAAUUCUAUGAAGAUUUUAUCAUUAUCUUUUGACACUUUAUGUGUAGAAAUGCAUUUUUUCUUAAAUUCUCUAUCUGUUAUGAAUGUUGCUCCAGUAGUAUUCUUUUGAUGGUCUUUGCCUGAAUAUUUCUCAUUAAUUUUACCUGUAAACAUUUUGUAUAAUUGCAUGCCUGUACUUGGCAACUUGGUAAAGCCCCUCCCUAGCUUUAUUACAUAUUUUCUUAUCCCUUUAUGUGAGACUAUCUUUAGGAAUUAUGCUCAGUACUAAGCAUUUUGUAGAUUAUGGUUCAAAUAUUUUUAACUUGACUCAGUGCUGCCAAACUGUUUUCUGGAAUGUCUUCACCGGUCUGCCUUCUCCCAGCAGUUCACGUCAGCUUACUUUUCUAUACCUCCAUUCCUGCUGAGACUGGCAUUUUCCAGAUUUUUAAGUUUCCGGAUCUAAUUUGUGUAUAGUGAUAUGUUUUCGCUGUAAUGCGUAUUUCUCUGAUUACUCUUCAAUCUGAACAUCUUUUCAUAUUUUUAUAGACUGUUAGGUUUACUUGUCUGUGAAUUAUCUUUAUAAUAUUUACCCUUUUUAAAAUUAGAAUAAUUGUGUUUUUAUUAUUUGCAAGACUUUAUUUCCUAUUCCAGAGAUUAAUCUCUUUCAUUUGGGUAUUAACAAUAUCUUCUCCCAGUUUGACAUGUUUUUAUAAACUUUAUUGAAUAAAAAGUAUUCAAUUGGGUACCA